rnacentral:rRNA from 1 species
UACAGAGGUCUCAAGCGUUGUUCGGAUUCAUUGGGCGUAAAGGGUGCGUAGGCGGCGCGGUAAGUCGGGUGUGAAAUCUUGGAGCUUAACUCCGAAACUGCAUUCGAUACUGCCGUGCUUGAGGACUGGAGAGGAGACUGGAAUUUACGGUGUAGCGGUGAAAUGCGUAGAUAUCGUAAGGAAGACCAGUGGCGAAGGCGGGUCUCUGGACAGUUCCUGACGCUGAGGCACGAAGGCCAGGGGGAGC